AAACCAUGGUUUGGGCACCUCUGCAGUAAAGAUUUGAAUCUCUCCCAUGUCUCAUAGAAAGGUUCAUCAGACCCUUGAGAAAAAUUAGCAAUGGCUGAUUUU
rfam:Glycine soja cultivar W05 scaffold2474_1, whole genome shotgun sequence.